GAAACCAGAUGUUUUUGUUAUUAAAGGAGAAACGCUGAAGCUCUUGUCCGAUUAGACAUAUUAUCACCAUUGACCAAAUACCUUAAUAUCAAUACUGUGUCACCAUCGGUGCUUUCACAAAAUAUUUACACAAUGCAGAUUUUUGAUAACAAAUUUUCAGUAAAAGGAUAUAAUGACAAAUUGAGUAAAGGCAAAUAAUAGAACAGCUAAAACAAUCUGGUAAGUUCAAGAAAUGAUAUCAUUUUACUAUAAUGCAGCCUAACCAGGAAAACACACUUGAGCGAUAUUACGACAUCCAAAAUCUAAGAGGAUAUCUAGUCUAUAUUUGCCCUAACCUUACCUAACAACAGAGGCACCAUGACAUGAUCUUCUCUCACAUAACAUACUGUUUUGCAAGCUGGUCACGAUCAAGUUGGACAACUCUGAAACCCAUUGAGUCCACAGACACUAAAGACACUUGAUUGACCGAAUAGGCCAAUAGCUUUCACCACCAUUGCCAUACAGUACAGAAGUACAAUUUAUUUAAAUGUGAUGGUUUUGAACAUUUGGCAGACGCUUGCCUCGUCUUUAAGGCUCUACAUGGGUUUGCACCUCCCACACUGAGUCAGUUCAUAAAGUGGAAGUAUAGUGGCGGCAGGGCAACCAGAGGGGCACUGUGUGGUACAAUACAGACGCAGCAAAUUUGGGCCAACAGUCUUUUCAGAGAGAGCACUAAUCACACUACCUCAUCUCUGGCACCGCCGUUAAAUACCCAAUUGUUUUUAUUUAUUUGCUACUUUUGUAAUAUAUUUAUAUAUUUUAUUGUAUUGUAUCGUGCUGUACUGUGUUGACCUGAAGUGCUUAAUAAACCAUUGUAUUGAUAACAGAAGGCCACUAAUUGUAACAGCCUGCCCAGAGACUACAGAUGAAGUUUAGCUCUCUAGCUAACUCUUGCACAUCUACAUUGAGGUGGAAACUGAAACUUUGAUUAAUGUGCACUGUUCUUGGUAAAUAUAUAAUAAAGAUAUAUUACCACAGAACGUUACUUUCAAAAACGUGUCACAUUUAUUCAAAGCAGCAGUUUGUCAUUAGUGUGCUCUACCUUCUUAAAGAAACUCAACAUUGUGUGAAUGAAACAUUCCGCAGGCUGUGCUCCUACCCGCAGCACAUCACCCUCCAGCUGGUGGAGAGAAGUAGGGUGAGGAAAUUGCAGCUGCUGGCCCACCAGUACCUAAUCCCAGCCAAGGUGGAGUUCCACAUUGGAGACACCCUUCCUGAAACCAGCAGCACCUCAGGGUUCCCUGGGCAGCUUCGCAGACUCGGGUACGUGUCUUUGUCGGAUAACGAGAAGACAGGCUUCAAAGCUCGGGAGCUGAAGUCAGUCCAUGUCGACGCCAUCGGAACGUACCUGAGAAUAACCUUCCAUCGGAACCAUGCCAACCAUUACAAUCACCACAAUCAGGUUGCUUUGGUUGCCAUUAAUGUUCUGGGAGAUUCUUUGGAUGGCGAUGCUUUUAACGCAAUUCCAAGCAGAGAGCAGCUGAUCGAACACUACCUCAACAGUACCCAGCUGGAAGCCGCCUUGGACACGACCUUCAUGGGUAAAUGUGAGUCCAUCUCCCCCUUGGACGACCUGGCCUUCGACAUGUACCAGGACCCUGAAGUCGCCCACAUCAUCCGACUCCUGGACCAAAAGAAGCAGGACAUGGUCCAGCAGGAGAAAUACGAGCAGGCCAAGAACCUGAAGCAGGCCAUCGCAGACCUGCAAAAGGUGGGCGAGCGGUUGGCUCGAUAUGAUGUGGAGAAGCGGUGUGCGAUCGAAAAGGAAGACUAUGACCUGGCCAAGAAGAAGAAGGAGCUGAUGGAAGAGUACCGGAGGAGCGUCUACCAGCAGCUGGAGGUCCACAACCUGCUGGACAUGGCAAUGAUCCCACGGGCCGCAGAUUCAUCCUCAGCAAAGGAUCCUCCGGCCCUUCUGCCUUCUCCAGGUCGCCGUUCAGUCCCCAUCAAGCCCCUUGGGUCCACAGACACAUUCAGGGAGGGGAAAAAAACGAACGCUCCUCAGAACCAACAGUCAGACGCAGAAACUGUUGUGGCCAAACUAAGCAGCCAACCUGACACGCCGUGCACCCCUGCUGCUGUACCCAAGAGAGACGUUACCUGUGUGCCUUAUGAUGAGAGGCCGCUACCAGCCUUUCUGAGGAAAGAGCGGCCUGCGGAGGCCACUCUGAGCCCUGAAGAGCAGCGCUCCCCCCAACCCGCUGCUCAAAGGUCUCCACACAGCCCCGAGAUGAGUGGAGAGCCAGAGCCCCUGACGGAGAAGGACCAGAGAGAGGCUGGCCUUCCACUAGAGGUCUAUGGAGAAAGCCUGGUGGCUGGGGCGUAUUCCAAAACCUGGUCCCACAGAGAGGAGGCUCUCCUGGCCGUGCACAAGAAGCUUUCGGAGAUAUCACCCGCCACCCCCAAGGAGGAGCUGAGAAACGUGACUAGAGCUGCAGUCUUCCUGGUCAAGAAGGCCCUCCUGGAUAAAGUGUCAUCUGUUUUCCACGCCUCCUUGAAGUUGCUGCGGCUACUGCUGAGCCAGCUGAUCCCAGGUCUGGGGCUGGGCCGGGCCGAGGUGACCAACUGCAUAGACCAGACUUGGCCCAACCUGCUGGCCAGGACUGGAGACUCAGCGAGCCGCCUCCGGGGCACGGCCAAAGCCUUCAUCCAGGAAAUUGCUGUUUUGAAGGAUGUACGCGCUCUGCAGGUGAUCCCCGGUGAGCUGGUGAAGCCCUUCAAAUCCAGCUUCCCCUCUCGUCUGGCUCAGAGUCGGGCCGAGCUGCUCCAGAAGCUACUCGCUGACCUGGGUACAGAACACUCUGGCUUCACCCUGGACAAUGUCAUGACGUUCUGCACAGCAGCUUUGGAGCACAACGCACCAGCGGUUCGAGAGCUGGCGGUGCGCAUCAUCUUAUCUGCGUACCAGCAGCACAGAGCUGCUGUCCUCCACUACCUGCCACCCAACGACGUUGCUGCACGAAAGAACUUCCUCCUCAAAACCCUCUUCGAUGGCUUUGCCAAGAUUGAUGGGAAGCUGGUGGACACUCAGAUUUUGAAUAAGGGAGGUGGUCAGCGGGAUGGGCAAAAAGAGAAGGAGGAGAUCCACUCUCUUCAGGAGCAGCUGGCCGCCUUGAAAGAGAUCACAGAGAGAGGGAAUGAAAGCACCAAAGAACAAAUGCCCAAGAAAGAAGCCCCCAAACCUGAGUCCCAAACAGCUGGCAAAACAACUGUCACAAAAGUGCCGCAGAACAAGGUAACAGACAGUAUUGACGUCCAACAAUCUAUCAACUAUCUGGACAACCUGUGUAUAUUCUGUAGUAAAAAGGACGAGUCAUUCACAGAGGACGGAUUGGACCUUCACUACUGGAAACACUGUCCUAUGCUGAGACGCUGCGACGAAUGCAGACAGGUAGUCGAGAUAGCCAGCCUCACAGAGCACCUACUCGGCGAAUGUGAAAGCAGGUCCAAGUUCAGCCAGUGUCCACGCUGCUCAGAGGCCGUGGCCACUGAAGAGCUGACUCGCCAUGUCCAGGGCCCUGCCUGCAACCCCCCCAUCUCGGGUAAAGGCUCCAACCACUGUCCUUUGUGUCACAACAACUUCAUGCCCGGAGAGAAGGCCUGGAAGGCUCACCUCAUGGGCAGGGAGGGCUGUAAACAAAACUCACGCAGGACUGCGGUGUCCCAGAGAACCCAGCCAGCACAAGGCAGGGCUGUUGGUGGAGCCAAACUGAAGCAGUCCUGGUCGGUCGGGUCCAGAGCCAUGGGCAGAGGCAGCCGGAUCCCGGCCCUGGCACCCCGGGCCAGAGGACACACGCCAGGGAAGCACUGAAACUGGUUGAAAGCACCAAGAGGGAGACGCCCAACAGCGACCGACGUCCCUGUAGAAACAAACUUUACCUGUCGGGACACCCCACUCCCACAUUUCCUGCUCCCAUGUUCCUGCAUAUCAGUCAGCACUUUUAGAAAAGGCAUCUGAUUGGUUUCACAUCUUUAAGCGGCAGUGAGAGGAGAGGAGAGGAGAGGAGGAAUGAUCUUUGCUUACAAGAAGGAAACUUUUGCUUCCUUGGCAACCCUUCAGCAUCCUAAAGCUUUUGACAACACGAGUGCACCGUUGCACUCAGCUUCACGCAUUGCCGUCUGUUUACAUUUCUCCUUUCAUUUCCGGUCGUAAAUAAAUGAUAUCGAAGGAAUGAAGUAGCACUUUGCCAAAUGGAUGAUGCGGAAAUUCCAGUACACAGUAUGACCUUUAUUUAUUUUCCUGCUCAUCGCCGACUGACGAUCUUGACCAGAUGGCACAGUUUUAUAUACUCCACUAGUCCAGGGAGGGAGACAAAGUAUAUCUUUUAACGUAACAUAAUUAUUUCAAUGAAUAAAAAACACACACACAAAAGGAGAUGAACGCAUUGUUAUGCAGUAGAAUUUCUGUAGCACCUGUUUUUCUGCUGAAUGUGAAGGAGGCUGAGACAGACAGACAGUUUGAAGCACGUCAGUCUCUUUAAAUUGAUUUUAGCAACAAACUAAAGAGUUUAAGAACUCUUGACAACAAUUUGCUAGAUUUAUAUUUCAUGCUAUAAUUGUACUACUUCUAUUGUACUGCACAGUGUUACGACGAUGUUGAUUGUGAUAUAUCUGUGAUUCCUCCACAGCCAAGAAGGACUAAAACAGAAACAAUCCGUAAAACAGUCGGAGGUGUUUUUGAACGUUAUUUUGCAUAUUGUAAUAUCAGUAGGGUAACUUCCUUAAGGGGCGUGAUACUGUUUACUGUUGGGAGAUGUAUAAGAGAGUAUAUUUAUAUAUAUCACAUUGGCUUUAAUAUGCUUCUGUAUUGAGGACGAUUGUGACUGUUUUUAUGUGCAUAGUAGUCAGUAUUUUCUGAAUACUUAUGGCAUCAAAUGGCUAUUUUUUUUGUGUGCAAAAAAGUAUUUGUUUAAAUAAAGCUCCAUGAAGC